rnacentral:rRNA from 1 species
GACGAACGCUGGCGGCGUGCUUAACACAUGCAAGUCGAACGGAAAGUCCCUGCUUUGUGGGGGUGCUCUAGUUGCGAACGGGUGAGUAACACUUGAGUAACCUGCCCUUGACUUUGGGAUAACUUCAUGAAACUGGAUCUAAUAGCGGAUAGGAGCUCCUGCUGCAUGGUGGGGGUUGGAAAGUUUCGGCGGUUGGUGAUGGACUCGCGGCUUAUCAGCUUGUUGGUGGGGUAGUGGCUUACCAAGGCUUUGACGGGUAGCCGGCCUGAGAGGGUGACCGGCCCCAUUGGGACUGAGAUACGGCCCAGACUCCUCCGCGAGGCAGCAGAGGGGAAUAUUGCACAAUGGGCUGAAGCCUGACGCAGUCCAGCAGCGUGCGGGAUGACGGCAUUCGCGUUGUAAACCGAUUUCGCCUGUGACGAAGCGUGAGUGACGGUAAUGGGUAAAGAAGCACCGGCUAACUACGUG